UCUUAGUGAAGGAGAAACAGGAAGGGCCCUCUUUUUCCCCUCCGCUCCUGCUCCAGUGACAAGAUGUGAUCCACUGACAAGGAGAAGCAUGGACAAAGACGCCCACAAUAUUAGGAACAAAAUAUUCCAAAGUUAACUUCUUGAGAAAUAAUGUGCAUGGCUAACAAAAGUGUCAUUUAAAAUAAUUAAGAAAAUUUUGUGUGGGCCUACUGCAAGAAAUAAAUAACUUUAAAGAGUAAAAAAAAAUAAGAAAGAAAGAACAAAAAGACAACUUGAUAAUGAGAUAAUAAUACACACUGUGUGAAAGCCAGUUAAUUGAAGAAUACAAUUACAAAUAGUCAUACUUCAGAUGGUGAAGUGACUUGUUUCAAGGAAAACAAGAAUACUACAACAAACAUCAGAUGACUCCAGCUUCCUGGAAACUGACAUCAUAAAAUGCUGUGUUUAGACUCCAUUUGCAAUAAUGUAGGACAAUGGCUGUGAUCCUGGCAAAUCAGAGUUUGCUCAGAAACAAACCCAAAGCUAAGAAGACAUGUCUACCCUUUCACUUUGGGAUCAUUUCUUAGCUUCAAGUUCCAAGAACAUCCUUUGUAUGUCUUUGUCUCUUAUCGAAGGAUGAUUGGAAACCAGUUGUGGGAAAUAUUUUCGGUUUAAUAUCACUAAGAAUUGUUUAGGUGUCAAAUUUUUAUUAAUUCAAAGAUCUGAAAUAUAAGAACUGACUCAAAUCUGA
rnacentral:lncRNA from 1 species